GAUGAACGCUGGCGGCGUGCUUAACACAUGCAAGUCGAACGGAAAGGCCAGUGCUUGCCCUGGUACUCGAGUGGCGAACGGGUGAGUAACACGUGGGUGAUCUGCCCUGUACUUAGGGAUAAGCUUGGGAAACUGGGUCUAAUACCGGAUAGGACAACUUUUUGGAUAUUGUUGUGGAAAGCUUUUGCGGUAUGGGAUGAGCUCGCGGCCUAUCAGCUUGUUGGUGGGGUAUGGCCUACCAAGGCGUCGACGGGUAGCCGGCCUGAGAGGGUGUACGGCCACAUUGGGACUGAGAUACGGCCCAGACUCCUACGGGAGGCAGCAGUGGGGAAUAUUGCACAAUGGGCGCAAGCCUGAUGCAGCGACGCCGCGUGGGGGAUGAAGGCCUUCGGGUUGUAAACUCCUUUCGCUAGGGACGAAGCGUAAGUGACGGUACCUGGAGAAGAAGCACCGGCUAACUACGUG
rnacentral:rRNA from 1 species